CUUAUUUUUGAUUCUAAAAAAUCGUUUUACUCAUGGCAUUGCUUAUUGUUGAUUUUGGAAAAUACAUUUAUGCCGAGUAUUGUUUUCGCAUUUGACAGCUCUAUGUUCUGUCGACAUUUUGCAUUCAACCUAGUUUGCUAAACUUAUAUGGUCCAUCCGACAUAGCUAUCCUCUUGCCCUCACGUUGUCCAUUGAUUAUGCAGAUAGCUUAUAAGCGGGUUUGAAGAAGGGGUAGGCAGUAGGGAGUAGGAGUGAUAAGGAGGAACCAAAAUGGCUAAAUUUCUUAAACUGAAGAAUCCAAAUCUCUCGUAUAAUAUUGAUUGCCAUCCUUGUUGAUACAUGAAGGGGAAAAAACCCAUCUAUUUUGAAUCCUGCAUAUACUAAAAAAUUAUAGAUUAAGCUUCAAUAAUGUUACCUUUUGUGCUAAUGAAGUGUUUAGUAUCGUAAUCCAAUUGCAGAUCCCUAUGCGUUUGCUAUCCCAUGCGAAGCUAAAAGACUAUCCAUCCUUUGAUGCUUCUUUGUUGAAGAUUCUCUUUUGGUGAAGACACCUAGACAAAGAGAAUCUUCCUUUUGUUCCCUUCUAGUUCCCUACCUCUUGUAUAUCUUGACAUACAUUGAUCUUUGCUUUUUCAACAAAUUCAAACGGACACCUUUAAUUCUUUCUCCUCUAUUGCACAUUUGCACUGCUAAGCAUCAGUCUUCCCACCAUUAGGCUGGUACCACAUAAUUUUUCUGUAGAGCAAUGCUAUAUGCUUUUUCUUAUUGCUUUUCUAGUGAAUGGAGAAGUCCCUACUUCGCCUCUAGGAAAUAGAAGGGAGAUGAGGUUAGGUCUGUUUGCAGCCUUAAUUGGACUGUAUAUUUAGGAAAGCUGUGCCCUUGUAACUGACAAAAGUCGGUUUAUAAAAUGGUCGAAAGAUUUACCAUGUUUGCACAGCUUUUCUGAGCCACCCUUAUUAUUAAUGCCAAAAUGUUUGUUAAUCUACUUGAAUAUACAUGCUAACAUGUCAGCUAUACUAAAUCUUGUAACUUCUUCACGUACUUACAGUGUAUAUCCCACUUGUUUCAGUACUUGGUAUACUUUGCUAACAUGUUUUGAGAAUAUCAAAUUAAUGCAACUACUUUGUCAAGUUCUGGAAACCAGGCAACUCCAGCAAUUUAAGCACAGUUUUCUUGGGUGUUUAAGAUAGAACUGAAUUAGUUAGAUUAACUAAACCCUGAGUCUCCAUAAAUCACUUGGCUCUCUGAUAUUAUUUCAAUUGAUUGGAGACGUUACAAUGUACAGUGUGAUUUAGCAAUGGGUAAUUUCAUGAUAAUAACGGCCCUUUCAUCUUCUGUAUAGGAGCUUGAGACAUGAUUUUGGUUCAUCUGUUUUUCUGUAUGGACUAUGAUGCUAUUGCCUUUGGUCAGACUAUAUUGUUAUAGAAGCUUCUACAAACUAUUCUAACAUAAGAUUUGAUCACAUUUUUAAAUAGGCCAUCAUUAAUUGUUUAUGAGGCGAACAUACAGGUGCCAUAUCUUGCUGAUAAUUCUUGAUCAGCUGGCUUCAAAUUGAUGGCGGGAUACAUAAUCUCAUACUGCAUUGGCGACAGUUAUUAGUGAAAAACCCUUAAGAGCUGUUUGAGACUUUUAAAUUGUCUUUUUAAGUCACUUAUUGCAGAACUUGAAGUGGACAGUUGUUGAUGCUUUUAAGUCUUCAUGUAAUAUCGUAGAUGUGGUAGUGAAAUUGAGUCCGGAGAAAGUGCAUGUCUCAAAAUUGUACUGGUUAAAGCCUAUGGACAUAUUAUGUGCUUGCUCAUGUUGAUUGAACUACAUCGUUGAAGAGUUUUGCUCUCACCAUUUCUUAUAAUUUUAGGCUCUUUUGACAUAAAAUGUUAUUUUUUUAGUGUUUAUGGUUUAUUGUGGGCUAAUAUAGAGUGGGAUGUAAGUGGUCUUUUUAUAAGGCAGAAUCCUGACUUUCACUUUGUAUGUAGCUUGGCCUACUCCUUCGAUGUGUGGCUUAUAUGCUCGUCUGCUUUGUAGGAGCAAAGUGACCUUCGCAGAGUUGGAACUUCAAAUCUGUCGAGUUAAACUGAAUUCAACAGCGUCUUGUUUGCAGUACACUAUUGCUGUGGAAGUGGAACACACUGUAGAAAAGCUCAAAAAGCACUUUCGAAGGGGUCCCCUCCCCUGCCCUCUUGAUGUGUCUAGCUACUGCCAUUGCUGUCUGCCUGAGCUAACUCAACCACACCAAAUUGACAAUACAUUUUCUUUCAGAUGCCCUAUUUCUCUCAAAGGACUUGCACGUUAUUGGUUUGGUCAAAAUGACCAAGUCUGUUACUUAAAGAGUUGGAAUAUUUUUGGCCAACAUAAUGGUUUUGCAGGAGAGGACAAGGCUUCAACUGCCAAUUCUAGUAUCAUGAUGUUAAUGACCAGACUUCUGAUCUUUUAUUGUCUGUUAGUACCGUUUACGAUUUACUAACAUUGUGUACUUCAUACAAAGUAGUUUACUUCAUUUGGGACAUUAACCUAUAAAUACGGGCAAAUUUCUUGUUAUGUAGAAGUAGUAAAUAGACUA